CUUGUGACCCACCCGGUGGCUCCCGGCCGGUCAGGCCCUGAUCUCACUUCCCCGAUGUCAGGUCCGGCCCGGAAGGGAACCACUGGAGGGGGCACCCACCAG
rfam:Tessaracoccus sp. ZS01 NODE_1_length_779956_cov_63.7766_ID_806, whole genome shotgun sequence.